GAUGAACGCUGGCGGCGUGCCUAAUACAUGCAAGCCGAGCGAACAGAUGAGGAGCUUGCUCCUCUGACGUUAGCGGCGGACGGGUGAGUAACACGUGGAUAACCUACCUAUAAGACUGGGAUAACUUCGGGAAACCGGAGCUAAUACCGGGUAAUAUAUUGAACCGCAUGGUUCAAUAGUGAAAGGCGGUUUUGCUGUCACUUAUAGAUGGAUCCGCGCCGCAUUAGCUAGUUGGUAAGGUAACGGCUUACCAAGGCAACGAUGCGUAGCCGACCUGAGAGGGUGAUCGGCCACACUGGAACUGAGACACGGUCCAGACUCCUACGGGAGGCAGCAGUAGGGAAUCUUCCGCAAUGGGCGAAAGCCUGACGGAGCAACGCCGCGUGAGUGAUGAAGGUCUUCGGAUCGUAAAACUCUGUUAUUAGGGAAGAACAAAUGUGUAAGUAACUAUGCACGUCUUGACGGUACCUAAUCAGAAAGCCACGGCUAACUACGUG
rnacentral:rRNA from 1 species